UGGGGAAUUUUGGACAAUGGGGGAAACCCUGAUCCAGCCAUCCCGCGUGUGCGAUGAAGGCCUUCGGGUUGUAAAGCACUUUUGGCAGGAAAGAAACGUCGCGGGUUAAUACCCCGCGGAACUGACGGUACCUGCAGAAUAAGCACCGGCUAACUACGUGCCAGCAGCCGCGGUAAUACGUAGGGUGCAAGCGUUAAUCGGAAUUACUGGGCGUAAAGCGUGCGCAGGCGGUUCGGAAAGAAAGAUGUGAAAUCCCAGAGCUUAACUUUGGAACUGCAUUUUUAACUACCGGGCUAGAGUGUGUCAGAGGGAGGUGGAAUUCCGCGUGUAGCAGUGAAAUGCGUAGAUAUGCGGAGGAACACCGAUGGCGAAGGCAGCCUCCUGGGAUAACACUGACGCUCAUGCACGAAAGCGUGGGGAGCAAACAGGAUUAGAUACCCUGGUAGUCCACGCCCUAAAACGAUGUCAACUAGCUGUUGGGGUCUUCGGACCUUGGUAGCGCAGCUAACGCGUGAAGUUGACCGCCUGGGGAGUACGGUCGCAAGAUUAAAACUCAAAUGAAUUG
rnacentral:rRNA from 1 species